rnacentral:rRNA from 1 species
GACAGAGGUGCCGAGCGUUAGGCGGAAUCACUGGGCUUAAAGCGUGUGUAGGCGGACCCGUCAGUGUCUUGUGAAAUCCCACGGCUUAACCGUGGAACUGCUUGGUAUACUGGCGGUCUUGAGCCAGCUAGGGGCUACCGGAACAAAUGGUGGAGCGGUGAAAUGCGUAGAUAUCAUUUGGAACGCCAAUGGUGAAAACAGGUAGCUGGGGCUGUGCUGACGCUGAGACACGAAAGCCAGGGGAGCAAACGGG